CUGCCCUCAAGCACGGCUUGUGGGUUGGGCCCCGCCCGCUGUGGCCGGCCCUAAAGACAGUGGCGGCGCCGCCUGGCCCUCAGCGUAGUACAUCUCUCGCUCCAGGGUCCGGUGGCCGCCUGCCAGAACCCCCCAACUCUGU
rnacentral:misc_RNA from 1 species